AAGUGGCCGAUCGAGGCAGGCAUAUUCCGAUCUGAUCCGAUCCGUCCCGCGGCGCAUGCGCGUUGUGAGAUGGAGAUCCGAGCGCGCCGCGGCAGUCGUACUACACUGUCUCACUGUCUGAAUGCAUGCGGUAGAUGUCGACAAACUUGUCUCUCUACGCGAGCUGAACGUGUCUCUACUAAAAGCUACUAGGUGCUAUCGAUCAGUUCACAGCUCUCCAUCGCCAACACGGCUGCAAUCACUUACUUAUUGGCCGCAUUCCUGCGAUCCUUUUCUUCGACGCCGAUGCAUUAAUGCUCGUCAAGAACCGAUGGAUACACGAACAUGCCCACACAGUGCACGCUCCGUCGAUCGUACACAUGCAUGCAACCGGUGGAAUCGAUAAGCACUGAACGAAGCUCGGAGUAAUAUAUAAUGGCAGCGGUUGAACGUGAACAUCAUAUCGGGGGAAAUGGCACUUGCCGUCAGGGAACACACAUUACAACCACCUGCUUGCUUCUUCUGGUCUACAAGUCGGAUGUCAGUGCUCAUCAGUUCACAGCAACAUGUGACUUCCAGGGUUAAUUAAGCAACAUGUGACUUUGAGUUGUACUAGUAACUUGACAAAGUGGGCUCAUUCUACUAAUUCAGUUGAACCAGACAUCACUGGUUUAUUCGUAACAGUGAGCUGUGACCAUGUCACUGAAGUCUGAAUACAUGAUUUUUUUCUUCUC